rnacentral:misc_RNA from 1 species
UCAUUAAAUUACUACCAAAUACUCAUAGUUGGCACCAUAGUCCAAAUCCUCUUAUCAAACCAUUAAAGAGACCAAACUCAAGGUUAAAAGAAACCAAACUCAAGGUUAAAGGAAAAAAUAAGAUUAAAAGGUAACAAACAGAUUCUGCUGUGCCUUGACAUACUCAAGCUGCCGCACUGUUAGAGCUUAUUGGUUCAGCCUCCUGCUUUGCUUUAUUAGUUUCCUCCACCUUGCUCAUCUUAGCAAACAUGUUGCCAUAAAACUUGG